CUGGCUCCGAAUCAAGGCCGGCAGCUUCCUGACGCUGUUGGUUUCAAGCAGGAACCGAAAGAGAUGUCUUUCUAAGGUCUGCUGGCCAUUUUAGAACUUGGGCAGUGAAAUGGUCAAUUCAUUAGAAAGAAACAGCU
ensembl:snoRNA small nucleolar RNA SNORA2/SNORA34 family